rnacentral:rRNA from 1 species
GAUGAACGCUGGCGGCGUGCCUAAUACAUGCAAGUCGAGCGAACGGACGAGAAGCUUGCUUCUCUGAUGUUAGCGGCGGACGGGUGAGUAACACGUGGAUAACCUACCUAUAAGACUGGGAUAACUUCGGGAAACCGGAGCUAAUACCGGAUAAUAUUUUGAACCGCAUGGUUCAAAAGUGAAAGACGGUCUUGCUGUCGCUUAUAGAUGGAUCCGCGCUGCAUUAGCUAGUUGGUAAGGUAACGGCUUACCAAGGCAACGAUGCAUAGCCGACCUGAGAGGGUGAUCGGCCACACUGGAACUGAGACACGGUCCAGACUCCUACGGGAGGCAGCAGUAGGGAAUCUUCCGCAAUGGGCGAAAGCCUGACGGAGCAACGCCGCGUGAGUGAUGAAGGUCUUCGGAUCGUAAACUCUGUUAUUAGGGAAGAACAUAUGUGUAAGUAACUGUGCACAUCUUGUCGGUACCUAAUCAGAAAGCCACGGCUAACUACGUG